UACGAAGGGGGCUAGCGUUGUUCGGAAUCACUGGGCGUAAAGCGCACGCAGGCGGAUUGAUAAGUCCGGGGUGAAAUCCCGGGGCUCAACCUCGGAAUUGCCUUUGAUACUGUCUGUCUUGAGUCCGGGAGAGGUGAGUGGAAUUCCUAGUGUAGAGGUGAAAUUCGUAGAUAUUAGGAAGAACACCAGUGGCGAAGGCGGCUCACUGGCCCGGUACUGACGCUCAUGUGCGAAAGCGUGGGGAGCAAACAGG
rnacentral:rRNA from 1 species